UACGUAGGGUGCAAGCGUUGUCCGGAAUUAUUGGGCGUAACGAGCUCGUAGGCGGUCUGUCACGUCGGAUGUGAAAACUCGGGGCUCAACCCCGAGCCUGCAUACGAUACGGGCAGACUUGAGUUCGGCAGGGGAGACUGGAAUUCCUGGUGUAGCGGUGAAAUGCGCAGAUAUCAGGAAGAACACCCGUGGCUAAGGCGGUUCUCUAGUACGGUACUGACGCUGAGACGCGAAAGCGUGGGGAGCGAACAGG
rnacentral:rRNA from 1 species